rnacentral:misc_RNA from 1 species
UCGUAACAAGGUUUCCGUAGGUGAACCUGCGGAAGGAUCAUUACCGAGUGCGGGUCUUUAUGGCCCAACCUCCCACCCGUGACUAUUGUACCUUGUUGCUUCGGCGGGCCCGCCAGCGUUGCUGGCCGCCGGGGGGCGACUCGCCCCCGGGCCCGUGCCCGCCGGAGACCCCAACAUGAACCCUGUUCUGAAAGCUUGCAGUCUGAGUGUGAUUCUUUGCAAUCAGUUAAAACUUUCAACAAUGGAUCUCUUGGUUCCGGCAUCGAUGAAGAACGCAGCGAAAUGCGAUAACUAAUGUGAAUUGCAGAAUUCAGUGAAUCAUCGAGUCUUUGAACGCACAUUGCGCCCCCUGGUAUUCCGGGGGGCAUGCCUGUCCGAGCGUCAUUGCUGCCCUCAAGCCCGGCUUGUGUGUUGGGCCCUCGUCCCCCGGCUCCCGGGGGACGGGCCCGAAAGGCAGCGGCGGCACCGCGUCCGGUCCUCGAGCGUAUGGGGCUUCGUCUUCCGCUCCGUAGGCCCGGCCGGCGCCCGCCGACGCAUUUAUUUGCAACUUGUUUUUUUCCAGGUUGACCUCGGAUCAGGUAGGGAUACCCGCUGAACCUAAGCAUAUC